rnacentral:snRNA from 1 species
CGAGGCGCUGUCUACGAG